ACCUAAAGUUUGAAAUCUGUGCUCUUUCAAAUUUAAUUUAACAAACAUCUUUUGAUUUAUUGAUUGUUUAUGAUGUUCCAGACCAGGCAAGGGGACCUACACAGAGGAUGAAGAAUAGGACAUAUCUUCAAGGGAGGUUCUUAAUGUAGGAGCAAUUUGAAGUGGAUUCAGUUUUAUAGAUAAUAAGCAUGAGAGUAAAGAUCACAGCAGACAUUUGGUUACUAAAGAGUCUUCAGUGGAACUUGAAAGUUUUAAUCCAUCAGAUGUUAAGAAUGAGAUUGGUAUGUAUUUUUAAAAGAGUGGGGUGGAGAUCCAAAAGGAAAAAAAGAGGUCUAAUCCAAGCCAUUAGGUAUUGGAAUCCUCUCCUAUAUAAAAGCCUUUUGUUUAUAAGAGAGCUGAGAGCUUGA
rnacentral:lncRNA from 1 species